rnacentral:rRNA from 1 species
AUUGAACGCUGGCGGCAUGCCUUACACAUGCAAGUCGAACGGCAGCACGGGGGCAACCCUGGUGGCGAGUGGCGAACGGGUGAGUAAUGCAUCGGAACGUGCCCAGUAGUGGGGAUAACUAGUCGAAAGAUUAGCUAAUACCGCAUACGACCUAUGGGUGAAAGCGGGGGAUUCGCAAGAACCUCGCGCUAUUGGAGCGGCCGAUGUCUGAUUAGCUAGUUGGCGGGGCAAAGCCCACCAAGGCUUCGAUCAGUAGCUGGUCUGAGAGGACGACCAGCCACACUGGGACUGAGACACGGCCCAGACUCCUACGGGAGGCAGCAGUGGGGAAUUUUGGACAAUGGGCGCAAGCCUGAUCCAGCCAUGCCGCGUGCGGGAAGAAGGCC